rnacentral:rRNA from 1 species
UACGUAGGGGGCAAGCGUUAUCCGGAUUUACUGGGUGUAAAGGGAGCGUAGACGGCAGUGCAAGUCUGGAGUGAAAGGCGGGGGCUCAACCCCCGGACUGCUCUGGAAACUGUACGGCUGGAGUGCAGGAGAGGUAAGCGGAAUUCCUAGUGUAGCGGUGAAAUGCGUAGAUAUUAGGAGGAACACCAGUGGCGAAGGCGGCUUACUGGACUGUAACUGACGUUGAGGCUCGAAAGCGUGGGGAGCAAACAGG